rnacentral:piRNA from 1 species
UAUGCACUCACUGAUAAAUGGAUAUUAGCC